GAAAGACCAAAAUAAAAUAAUUAGGGAUUGUAAAAUAAAUCACCUUUUAAAAAUGUUUAAAAAAACUAACAUUUCUGAAGCCUUGUAACUCAAAGUAUGAAAUGCAAAUCAGAAGCAUCAUUGGAAUCACUUGGAAGCUUAUUAGGAGUUUAUUAGAAACAAAAUCUCAGGCCCCAAACAAAACCGACUGUAUUAGAAUCUACAUUUAGCCAUGAUCCUUCAGCAAAUCUUAUGUGUGUUGAAUUUUAGAAGUUAUAGAAACGUCAGUUUAAAUAACUCCAGGGAAAUGGUUUCCAACACAUAACUUAGGAAAUUGAUUUAGCCUAAAUUCAUUUUCAAAGAGUACGUCUCUUAUUGUUAUCCUUGUUCAAGUGGCUAAGACAAGUGUAAGUUUGAUUGUCCAUACAUAUUUAAUUCUUUCCGAAAUUUUCAACAUAUAAAUAUAGUUGUGGGAACACAUUUCGUUUUGUCAAAUAAAAGGGAUCCAAUCAGCUGAUUUUAGGCAAAGACACUCUAGAAUUAAACACCACAGUUCAGAAAGCACCCUCAUAAAUGAAAAGCUUCAUUCUCAUUAUUGAGACCUUACCCUGGUGUGCUAUCAUGAAAGAGAGUUUUCUUUUUGUCAACUGUGCAUUUUUUUUUCCAGCUCACAACAAAACCCAGCUCAUAUUCCACCAUUCACGGGCUUUCAUUAUUCUUUACCCUCUUUCUCUUGUAACACUUCACAGCGCCUCUCGCUCAGGCAACUGCUCUAAGUGUAGAAAAGCUGGUGAGGAGAUGGCCUAUCUGCACUCUGUGAUUUAGUGGACUUGAAAAAAAAAAAAAGCAUUAAGAAGAAUCACAGAGGAAAGAUGUGAUGACGAAGAUAAAGAAGGAAUAAGGGAAGAGGACCAGGUGAUACUAGAUAGAAAAUAUCAAGAAAAGCAUUUAUAGAAGGACAAACAAGGAAAGUCAGUGUAAUGACAAUGAAGAAACCGAAUGUGUACAGGAAGUGUACGGAAAGACUUUUCAAAUUCCAAUGGGCAAUGGAAUUGCAAACCCCUGCCACAGAACCCACUACUUUCGACUUGAGUCUGUUAUUUCUGGAUCUGCCUACCAGAGUCCAUAUUCCUCACUGAAGGUGGGGUUUAGGUAAUUGGGCAAUAGCCAAAAGUUUGAGGCUAAAGAUUUGUAUCAGAUUUAUACACUAGAAGGCAAUAUAGAGAAUGGCCUUGGAGAUAGGAAAAGAGAGAUCAGAAGAUGGUUUGAAGGCUCAACACCAUGUGGGAGCUGCCAAGCCUUGGGGUUUGCACCCUCUGAAGCAAUGGCCUGAGCUGUACACUGGCCCAUUUUAGCCACUGCUGGGAUGCAGGGCAUCAAGUCCCAAGACAGCACAAAGCAGCAAGACCCUCAGCCCGGCCCACAGAACCAUUUUUUCCUCCUAGACCUCCUGGCUUGUGAUAGGAGGGGCUGCCAUGAAGACCUCUGACAUGCCCUGGAGACAUUUUCCCUGUUGUCUUGUGUCAUAAUCACCUUGAUUCAAGACCAUUUCAGCUACCUCACAGUCAAUGAAUGAACAACUGGAGCUUUAUUCUUGAUGUAAAAACUUUAUUAUACCCUUCUUCCAGCUUACUAACACUUUGAAGGUAAGUUUUUUGCAUAUGUAAGUAUGUCUGACGUCAUUUUUUUCUCAUUCGAUACACGGAAUCCUUCAAAUUCACUACCUUGUUCAUCAUCAUCACUGAACAUAGUUGUAGGCCAAAGGUUGUGCUGGGGAUGCACAACUGUAUCUUUAGAACCUGUGUUCCAAGUGUUCACAACAGCAUAUAUGGUAUCCUUUGUGGUAAACUCCUUUUGAAAACUUUCCACACCUAGGCCUCUGUUCACUGCUGCUAGCAUGCUGUCAAGAAAGUGUUGCUAUAUUUACUUUUCACUGAUCUAAGGGCACCCUUGUCAUAUGGCUGAAAUAAUAAAGUACCAUUUGGGGAAGCACGUGACAUUAACAUUAUUGUUGAUAGAAUGUUCACUGAAGAUUAACAGUUGUCAAGAAAGAACAAAAUUUUGCAGUCACCAUCCAAUCUAGCUUCCUUGCAGUAUAUAUGAGGCACUGGUAAAACAUGUUUGAGAAACCAAUCAGAAAAGAUAUCCCUGGUGAUCCACACCUUUUUGUUAGCAUAAUAAUGGACUGCUGGAAAACUGAGUACACAAGCUUUUGUCUAUCAUGGCAAGUUACACUUAUGCAAUGCCUGCUGCAUUGGCACAUCCCAACACAGUUACUCUGUUACUGGCAUCCUUCAUUACUGUAGGCUGUCUCAUCAGCUGUAGUCAGUGUCUUCCUGGGGCAGUAACACCAAAACAGUGAUAUUUCAUCAGCAUUAUAGACUUGACCUGGAGUCAAAAUUUCAUCAGCAAUGACCCUGGCAAAUUUGUCAAUAAAUUUCUCCUCUAUUUCAAGAUCAGUAGAUGCUUUGUCACCACAAUUCUUUAAAAAUUUAAUGCUAUGUCUUUUUAAAAAACUUCUACAGCCAGCCUAUUGAAGAUUCAUAGUUCCCUUUAUCAGUUCAUCAUGAUAGAUCUUUGCUUGUUUCAUGAUCAGUAUAUCAUUAAGUGUCAUGCGUUCACUGUGACGCUGAUGGAUCUACACUUUCAAUACAUGAUUGAGAUCCAUAUUUUUAGCCGUACGUAGUGUUUUCCUUUAAUGGCUGUUUGUCACUUUCAGGGUAGAACUUCAACAGUUUAUCUUCAGGUCAUAUAUGGUGGUCAUUCCACCACCACACUCUUCUGUGAGCUGUUUCAUACUCACACUACUAUUGAGUUUCUCCAGCAGCUUGACUUUCUGUGCUACAGAUAAACAGAAACGCUUCCUCUUUUUCUUAUCACUGCUACCCAUGGGGUAUCUGUGGGCCUUUUUGACAUUUUCAACAAUAUCUUUACACCACAGAAGAAAGAAUAUGCAAACAAAAUGAACAAAAAUCCACAGAGAGAAAUGCUCAUAGGUCUUUGCCCCAUGUGGGUCAUCAUGGUGAUAUAAUUUCAGUAUUUUCCCCUCCAACUCUCAAGUUGAAAUGUGAUUCCCAAUAUUGGAGGUGGGGGUCUGGUAGGAGGCGAUUGAAUCAUGGGGACAAAUCCCUUAUGAACGGUUUAGCACUAUCUGCUUGGUGAUGAGAGUUCUUGCUCAGUUAGUUCACAUAAGACCUGGUUGUUUAAAAGUCGGGAAACUCCCACUUCUCUCUCUCUUGCUCCCUCUUACACCAUAUGAUGUGUCUGUUCCCGCUUCAUCUGUUACCAUGAGUAAAAGCUUCCUAAGGCCUCACCAGAAGCUGAGCAGAUGCUGGUGCCACUCUUGUACAGCCUGCAGACUAUGAGCCAAUUAAACCUCUUCUUUAUAAAUUACCCAGUCUCAGGUAUUUCUUUAUAGUGAUUCAGGAACAGAGUAAUACAGUGGGAAACUUGCCAUUGGCCAAUAUGGCCUGCACACAUGCCAUUUUAUUUCCCUUUGAGAGCAUGCUUAGAUGGGGGAAUCUGGGCCUGUGCAAAAAAAAGAUAUAUCAUCAUUGAAGGGGCUGGGAGAGUCUUUUUUGUCUUGGGGACACUGAAUAAACUACAUUGUGUGCCUGUGCUUAGACUGUGACCUGUCACAGAAGGUCAGGCAUGGAACUUUACACUUGUGGCAUCAGGUCAGCAUUCAGAUAAUUUCAGAUUUGGGGACAUUUAACAUUAGAUUUUGGAUUAGAGAUGCUUAACCUGUGUAAAAAAGAAACCACUAUAUCUCUCUCCCUCAUUGCUUAGUUAGAAAGUAAAUAAGCAGAUGGAUUAUUAUUAUUAUUAUUAUUUUUUUUUUUUGAGGCAGAGUCUCACUCUACUACGUAGGCUGGAGGGCAGUAGUGUGAUCUCGGCUCACUGAAGCCUUUACCUCCCAGGCUCAAGCAAUCCUUCCACCUCAGCCUCCCAAGUAGCUGGGACUAUAGGCAUGUACCACGGUGCCCAGAUAAGCAAAUGAAUUCUAUAUUAAUUCUUGCAGAUUGCAAAAUCAACUACUUUUUCUUCCAAAUUUGUGAUGUUUAGCAUAUUUUCUGCAUGCAUUUAAUAUAGCUUAAAAUUAUAAAUCUACAAAAAAGUUAAAAAUGUUUUAUAGUAUGUUUUUUGAGAUAAAUAUAAAAUUUUACUACUUCACUAUUUUAAAUAAAAACUUAUUUUUUGUUUAUUAUUUUGAUUGGAGAGUUGGUUGAUAACGGAUGCCCAUGUAGAAGUUUGCUGCAGGGGUGGAUCCCUCAUGGAGAAACUCUGCUAGGACAGUGUGGAAGGGAAAAAUGGGGUUGGAGCCCCCAAUACAGAGUCCCUACUGGGGCACUGCCUAGUGGAGUUGUGAGAAGAGGGCCACCCUCCUUCAGACCCCGGAAUGGUAGAUCCACCUACAGCUGGCACCAUAGGCCUGGAAAAGCUGGAGACACUCAAUGCCAGCCCAUGAAAGCAGCUGGGAGAAAGCCACAGGGGCAGAGCUCCUUGAGACCAUCGGAACCCACCUCUUGCAUCAUCAUGACCUGGAUGUGAGACCUGGAGCCAAAGGAGACCAUUUUGGAGCUCUAAAAUUUGACCACUCUGCUGGAUUUCAGACUUGCUUGGGCCCUGUAACCCCUUUGUUUUGGCCAAUCUCUACCAUUUGGAAUGACUAUUUACCCAAUACCUGUACCCCCACUGUAUCUAGGAAAUAGCUGGCUUGCUUUUGAUUUUAUAGGCUCAUAGGCAGAAGGGACUUGCCUUGUCUCAGAUGAGACUUUGGACUGUGAAGUUUUGGGUUCAUGCUGAAAUGAGUUAAGACUUUGGGGAACUGUUGGGAAGGCAUGAUUGGUUUUGAAAUGUGAGGACAUGAGAUUUGGAGGGGCCAGGGGUGAAAUGAUAUGGUUUGGCUGUGUCCUCACCCAAAUCUCAUCUUGAAUUGUACUACCAUAAUUUUCAUGUGUUGUGGGAGGGACCCAGUGGGAGAUCAUUUGAAUCAUGGGGGCGGUUCCCCUAUACCCUUCUCAUGGUAGUGAAUAAGUCUCACAAGAUCUAAUGGUUUUAUCAGGGGUUUCUGAUUUUGUAUCUUCCUCAUUUUCUCUUGCCACCACCAUGUAAGAAGUGCCUUUCACCUCCUGCCACUAUUCUAGGCCUCCCCAUCUGUGUGGAACUGUAAGUCCAAUUAACCCUCUUUUUCUUCUGAGUCUCAGGUACGUCUUUAUCAGCAGCAUGAAAAUGGACCAAUACAUUGGUAUUCCAGUGUUCACUAAUUAAAAGAGAAAUUCUAUUUUACUUGGAUGCUAUUGAGUAGGUUAUAAGAGAAUUUGCUGUAGGAAAGUACUAAUUACACUAAACUGCAGAGAAUUACCAUGCAUAAACCUAUUAGCAGGAAAAUUUCUGGCCUGUAAUCCAAAACUGGAUACAAAACCAAGGGUUCACUCUGGGAAAUGUUGAUGUUUCACAUAUUCCUAGUGUUAUUGAUUCAAUACUGAUAUCUAUUACUAGCAUAUAGUUAAUAUGCAAUUUUAGACAAGAUGUCAAAAGUUGUUGAACAUAAUCAUUUGAAAGACAAAAUAAGCAUUCCUUUUUAAAAAAGGUAUUUAAACAUCUGAACAUAAAAGUACAAUAAUAAAAACACCCUUCCUUCUUUUCUCCCUCCAUCCUAUUUUUUAUCUCACUUUUCCCUUCCUACUUUUCCAUGCUGAAUUUUAUCAAAGUUCAGACUUCAAUGAAAUAUUAGAUAUUCAGUGAAAGAAAAGUAUCAGUCAGAGUUCAGAGAAGCAGAGCCAGUAGGAGAUUAUAUAUACAUGUGAGCAAUUAUAUGUCUCUUUGUUGAUAUAAUUAUAGGAUCCCAAAGCCUGCUGGGCAGGCAGGCAGGAAGGGAAGAUCAUGAGCAGGCCGGAAGCCCAGAGGCAGGAGCUAAGGCUUGUUGUCCACUAGUGGGAGGCUCUACUGAGAGAAGGCCUCAGCAUACUUAAAGACCUUUCAACGGAUUAAAUCAGGCCUACACAAGAUAAUCUCCCUUUUUAAUAAAAUCAUCCAGUUAGAAUAUUUAAUCUCAUUCAUAAAAUUCCUUCACAAAGACAUAGAUCAGUGUUUGACUGAAUAACUGGAACAAGGUAUAUGUAUGCUAAAAAUGGCUGCUGCUCCCUUUAGUUCUCCAAGUCUCUUGAGUCCCUGGGAACCCACCCUAAACAUACUUGAGAGGGAUUUCUUGGCACUGUGGUUCAGACUGUUCAAGGUGACACAUCAACAGCCAUCAUAUAAAAUGCAUUGAUUUUUCUCAGAAGUUAGUAGAUCUGAUUCCUAAGUGGAAGAAUAUUUGCCAUAAAUACACAGACAAGGUGAUAAUGGAGACCUUGUGAGAAACCAGGCAAUUAUAAAAUUGAUCUAUCUCACCAGUACUAUGAACAAAAAUCACAACGAAAAGUCCUCUUCUGACUCUUAAUGAAGCAGAAAUCUAGGGAACACCAAGACUUAAGACUUUUUUUAAAUCCUUACUCACAUUUUUUGAUCAAGGAUGAACAUCUUUCCCUGAAGUCCACUAGAAAAUUUCCGUUUUCUUCAAUAGACUUUAAGAGCAGUUCAGUUUCACAGUAAAAUUGUGCACAACAUAGAGUUCGCAUAUACACCCCACAUCCCACCAACCCUGCCACACACAAGCCUUCUCCACUAUCAGUAUCCCACAAUGUAGUGGUACCUGUUUUUACAAUUGAUGAACUUACACUGACAUAUCAUUAUUAUUCAAAGUCCAUAGUUUUCAUUAGGGCUCAUUCUUGAUGUAUAGUCCAUGGGCUUUGACAAAUGUAUAAUAACAUGCAUUUCCCUUUAUAGUAUCACACAGAAUAGUUCUAAUGACUUAAAAAUUGUCUAUGCUUUGCCUACUUAUUUAUUCCUCCCCAACAACCUCCGGCAACCACUGAUCUUUUCACUGACUCUAUAGGUUUGCUUUUUCCAGAACGUCAUAUAGUUAGAAUUAUAAAGUAUGUAGCCUUUUUCGGACUGGCUUCCUUCACUUAGUAACAUGCAUUUAAGAUUGUUUUCAUGUCUUUUCAUGUUUUGAUAGCUCACUUAUUUUCAGUGCUAAACAGUUUUCCAAUUUCUGGGUGUGCCACCGUUUAUUUACCCAUUAAUUUACUAACGGGCAUUUUGGUUAUUUUCAAGUUUUGGCAAUAAUGAAUAAAGCUACUAUAAAUAUUCAUGCACAA